ACAAAGGCUCUUCUAAGAGCCACCCAUCCUCUCCCUAUAAGGUCUGU
rfam:Xenopus tropicalis strain Nigerian Chr09_contig_7, whole genome shotgun sequence.